UACGGGGGGGAGCAAGCGUUGUUCGGAUUUACUGGGCGUAAAGGGCGCGUAGGCGGCCACCGCAAGUCGACUGUGAAAUCUCCGGGCUUAACCCGGAAAGGUCAGCCGAUACUGCGGGGCUAGAGUGCAGAAGGACAACGGAAUUCUCGGUGUAGCGGUGAAAUGCGUAGAUAUCGAGAGGAACACCUGCGGCGAAGACGGGUUUGCUGGGGCUGACACUGACUGAGGCGCGAAAAGCUAGGGGGAGCGAACGGGG
rnacentral:rRNA from 1 species